GAUUACUGGCUCAGGAUGAACGCUAGCUACAGGCUUAACACAUGCAAGUCGAGGGGCAGCAUGGUCUUAGCUUGCUAAGGCCGAUGGCGACCGGCGCACGGGUGAGUAACACGUAUCCAACCUGCCGUCUACUCUUGGACAGCCUUCUGAAAGGAAGAUUAAUACAAGAUGGCAUCAUGAGUCCGCAUGUUCACAUGAUUAAAGGUAUUCCGGUAGACGAUGGGG
rnacentral:rRNA from 1 species